CUGCUCUUUGUCCUGAUCUCCAUUUAUUCGUUUUCUACAGCUCAGUGCUUCAUGCUGUGCUUGCCACAUGAUGGCUGUAGAUCCUGCAGUCCUCCUGAGAUGGGACCCUAUGAUAGCAGAUGUAAAGUUGUUACUGCUCUGGAUGCAUCUCUACAGAGUUCAGAUGUAGAAGCCUGACAUCCCAUUAAAAUAAGCAAUUUUAAAAUAAAUGGAUGCU
rnacentral:lncRNA from 1 species